GUGAUGUAUUGAGAGGUUAUCAGUGAUGUAUUUAGAGGUUAUCAGUGGUGUAUUUAGAGGUUAUCAGUGGUGUAUUUAGAGGUUAUCAGUGAUGUAUUUAGAGGUUAUCAGUGAUGUAUUUAGAGGUUAUCAGUGAUGUAUUUAGAGGUUAUCAGUGAUGUAUUUAGAGGCUAUCAGUGAUGUAUUUAGAGGUUAUCAGUGAUGUAUUUAGAGCUACACUAACUA